rnacentral:rRNA from 1 species
UACAGAGGGUGCGAGCGUUAAUCGGAAUUACUGGGCGUAAAGCGUGCGUAGACGGUUAUUUAAGUCGGAUGUGAAAGCCCCGGGCUCAACCUGGGAAUUGCAUUCGAGACUGAAUAGCUAGGGUGCGGUAGAGGGAAGCGGAAUUUCCGGUGUAGCGGUGAAAUGCGUAGAUAUCGGAAGGAACAUCAGUGGCGAAGGCGACUUCCUGGACCAAUACUGACGCUCAGGUGCGAAAGCGUGGGGAGCAAACAGG